UAGCUGCGUUAACUGGUGUGAAUUGCAGGACACGCCGAGCACUAAGUUUUCGAACGCAUAUUGCGGCUACGGGCCUUCCCGUAGCCUCGUCUGUCUGAGGGUCGGUUAAUAACGACUCAUCGUAAGAGUCCUUUCGAGGCUUGCCAAGUUGCUUGCCCUUGUCGGACUUUGGUUGACGCGAUGUUUCGCUGAGAGCUGCAGCGGCAUCGGUCUGGCGCUGCGUGUCAGACCGCUCUGUCGUUCUGUAUGUAGCUGUUAGGUGAUCGUCGUGUGCUGUCGACUGUCAGUGUGUCUUAACGACACACAUUACCAACUGUCGACCUCAGAUCAGGCGAGAUUACCCGCUGAAUUUAA
rnacentral:misc_RNA from 1 species